rnacentral:rRNA from 1 species
UACGUAGGGCGCAAGCGUUAUCCGGAAUUAUUGGGCGUAAGGAGCUCGUAGGCGGUUUGUCGCGUCUGCUGUGAAAUUUCGGGGCUCAACCCCGAACUUGCAGUGGGUACGGGCAGACUAGAGUGUGGUAGGGGAGACUGGAAUUCCUGGUGUAGCGGUGAAAUGCGCAGAUAUCAGGAGGAACACCGGUGGCGAAGGCGGGUCUCUGGGUAGUAACUGACGCUGAGGAACGAAAGCGUGGGUAGCGAACAGG